CCUGACAGCUUCCAUUUAAGAACGUAAAAGUUCUGUCAAAUUUCCGUCAAUUUUAUGAAAUGUGAUUUUUUGGGGUUAAAUUAGCUCACCUGAAAAGUACAUGCAUUUAUUUGAAUAAAGUACAUCAAUUAAAUCAAUAAAAAUCAAUUUCCCGAUCUAAUUUUAUAUUGAAAUGAACAAAAUAACUAAAAAUUAAAUUGGAAAUCAUCAUCUUUUUGACGGACGGAACUCCCAGCUUCUUCACCAGGUCGGAUAUAUACUCGCAUUUUCGAAUAAUAUUGGAAGUUUUAUUUCAACAAAGACAAUUUAUUGUUGGGUGACUCGAAGCAUUUGAAGACUUGUGGCGAUGAUUUGGCGGACAGUUUGAUUGAAGACAUUGGUAUACCUGCCUCCAAGCAAAGUGACUCGAAGCAAUUGAAGACUUGUGGCGAUGAUUUGGCGGACAGUUUGAUUGAAGACAUUGGUAUACCUGCUACCAAGCAAAGGUUGUUCAAACCCAUGAGCUGCACAGAGAGGAGAAAGUCUAUGGAUUGUGGGUCCAGUUCUAUAAGAAAGGAAAGCGACAAUUAUGGACAUUGGAGGAGAAAUCUUUCUUUGUUUGUUGGGAGGAUAUCAUUAAACAAGUUGCUGAAACCUUUACUGUCUAUGCAUGGAUCUAGAUAAUACUACAAAUUUUGAGUGUUUGGUGUACAGUUACACUUAAUAGCCCAUCAGAAAGGCCGACAUGGUGACUGGUGCUUUUACAUCCAAUUUGGUGUAGACUGUUUUCAUACUUUCUUACAAAAACUGUUAGAAAUAUAAUAUAUCUUUUGAAAAGUUUCAAUAGCCAUUGUCAAUUUAUUUUGUAAAAUACGUUCUUAAGUGCCUAGAACAGUUGAUGGCCAGUGUUUUGACAGUUAAUUUCGGAUAAUGUCCAAAUAAAUUUACAUAAUUUACUUGUUUGCUCUUAGAAAACUUUUACUUGUUGUCAUUUGUUUUCUUGUAUCCAUUGCGAAAAAGUACUUUAGAAAUUGGGAAAGAACAUUUGUUCCGUCCAAAAAUGAUGGUAGCAACAAUUUGUUCCGUCCAAAAAUGAUGCUAGCAACAAUUUGUUCCGUCAAAAAAUGACGUUUAGCAACAUCAUCAAAAAUGAAUAAAUCUGUAUCUGGCCUGUUCCCUGCAGAGAUAGUACUUCCUUUACAUACAGUUUUCAAUCUUUUAUUACUUAGAAUAAAAUGCUGCUAAUUAUAAUAAAGAGAAUGCUUAAUUUUUCCAAUUUCUGAAUGGUGUGAACGUAAAAAUAUCCGUCAAAUAUUCUGUCAAAUAAUGACGUUAGCAACAUGAAAUUUAAAACAUGAUUAAAACUCAAAAUACAUCUGCUAUAAUUUUUAUUUUCAUGUUUUUGACCUAAUAUAAUAGCAAUCUUAUCAUAUAUAUUAAAAAAACUGCAAUUAUUUUAUAUGUACAAAAAAAUAUCCUUGGGAGCUAUUUUGACGGAAAUUUUAUGUUCUUAAAUGGAAGCUGUCUCU